rnacentral:rRNA from 1 species
GGGGGGGGUUUUUAUGGGGGGGAAAAAAAACAACGGGGGAUGCCUUCAGAAAGGGGAUUGAAGGGCCAAAAGUUAAAAUUUGAAAUCUUUGGGGAAUGGUUGUUCCAGGGGGGGGUCGGGAAGGGAAAGCAACUUUAAGCCCAUUGGAAAAUGGCGCCAUGGAGGGUGAUAGCCCCGUAAAAAAAUCCCUUUUCCUUUUAUCCAUUCCCUCCAAAGAGUCGAGUUGUUUGGGAAUGCAGCUCUAAGUGGGUGGUAAAUUCCAUCUAAAGCUAAAUAUUGGCGAGAGACCGAUAGCGAACAAGUACAGUGAUGGAAAGAUGAAAAGCACUUUGAAAAGAGAGUGAAAAAGUACGUGAAAUUGUUGAAAGGGAAGGGCUGGCAAGCAGACACAACCUCGGUUGGGCCAGCAUCGGAGUGGGGGGAGACAAAAAAGAAAAGGAAUGUAACUCAUUCAUUUUUAAAACCCUCUUCCCACAACCCCCCCCCCUUCCCACGUCCGCCCCCCCUCCAGGCCUCUUGCCUUAACGCUGGCAGUCCCCCCUCUCGCAAAAAAACCCCCCCGCCGCGCGUUUAUUUUUUUCGGAGGGGAAUUCCCCCCCCCUAAAAAAAAAAAACGGGGGGGUUUUUUUUAAAAGAGAAUUUUUUUUUUUUUUUUAAGAAAGGAGGGGGUUUUUUUUAAAAGAGAAGUGUUU